AGCAGAAAGCAACCUUUCAUGGUGGUGGCAAAGAGCAAGAGCUCAAGGGAGGGGUAGCAGCAGCUCAAGCGGCUAACUUCUCUUCCCCCCUUACAUUAUAAUGCCAAUUACCUGCCCCACGGCAGGUGCAGCAACCACACCCACAAUCCAAGCAUCACUAAAA